ACGGGAGGCAGCAGUGGGGAAUAUUGCACAAUGGGGGAAACCCUGAUGCAGCGACGCCGCGUGAGUGAAGAAGUAUUUCGGUAUGUAAAGCUCUAUCAGCAGGGAAGAUAAUGACGGUACCUGACUAAGAAGCACCGGCUAAAUACGUGCCAGCAGCCGCGGUAAUACGUAUGGUGCAAGCGUUAUCCGGAUUUACUGGGUGUAAAGGGAGCGUAGGCGGUAUGCUAAGUCUGAUGUGAAAGCCCGAGGCUCAACCUCGGUACUGCAUUGGAAACUGGUAAACUAGAGUGUCGGAGGGGUAAGUGGAAUUCCUAGUGUAGCGGUGAAAUGCGUAGAUAUUAGGAGGAACACCAGUGGCGAAGGCGGCUUACUGGACGAUAACUGACGCUGAGGCUCGAAAGCGUGGGGAGCAAACAGGAUUAGAUACCCUGGUA
rnacentral:rRNA from 1 species